UACUUGUGUAGAGGAGCGAUCACUAUAAGUAUUUUUCUGAGUGGAUAACGAAGAGGAAAAAGGAAAGGAGUGACCGCCGAAAUCAAUUGAAAGUCAUUUUGAUUGGUUGGUG
rnacentral:ncRNA from 2 species